CGUGUAAACACUGGAAUAAUUUGAGGUUAUUGUAGCCUCCAGGAGAAACAAUUAGGACAGAUGGAUCAUUAUUUCCCGACUAUUAUUCGUGAUUAAAGUGGUUUAAUAACUAGAUCUUGACAUACUCUGCAAAUAUGGAUGUUAGGCAGAAAGUUAUUGAUCAGUUCAAUGAAGUGUUUGGAGCCGAGUUGAAGAAUCUCGAGAACAUCGAGCAGUUUCAUGAGAAACUUGAAGCUGAUAAACGAGGAAUUGAACAAUCAUUGACAAUGGCCUCGACAGAAGCACCAUCAAAAGUGAAGGCAGCCGUGGAAAACGUUGAGGCUAUCAGAUCUCAGUAUGAAUUGCAGAUCGAAGAAGCAACAAAACUUGCGAAAACUAUAAAUCAAGUACUUGAUGACGACACAAAAGCUGCUGAGGUGCAGAAAGUAGUUGAUAAAAUCAACGAAUUGGAACGUACUCUGUCCUACCUCAAGCUCAUGAAGUACUUGGAGGACAUCAGUGAGGAGAUGGAGACAUCGCUGGGAAUUGGAGACGAAGAGUCGAUGAUAACAUCCUUCACAAAUUUAGUUGAAGUCUAUCGCCAAUUGCGGUCUUCGUCCUGCCACAAUCUAAUGAGUUACAUGCGUGAAAUUCUUCACUUCUGGUAUAACAACUUGAGAGACAAAUUUUCCAAUGAGUAUAUGGACGUCUUAAAGUCCUUGAAGUGGCCAUUUUGUGGUAUUAAUGCCUCAGGCCUAGUGUCCCCACUUCCAGAGACAAUGACAAGGUUCAAAAUUCUCACAGAGUAUCUCCUUCAGCUCCAGUUGCCGGAUGAAGGCUCAAAAUCUUCUGUGAAAUCGUCCCUCUUAGCGGACUUUAGUCCAGUCUGCCUCCCUGUGACCUUGCUAGUCCGUCCCUUGAGACAAAGAUUUGUCUACCACUUUACAGGUGCUAAACAGACAAAUCGUCGAGACAAACCCGAGUGGUUCUUCACCCAAAUCCUCACCUGGAUCAAGGACCAUGCCCGAUGGAUAGAGAAAAACGUCCAACCAGUGGCUGACACAACGGGUUUUAACCACGUUAACACCAAAGUUGAAUUCAUGAGGGCCUUGGUGCAGCUAGCAGUUGAAAAACUCCACUCUGAGUUGCCCGUUGUCCAGUACGACGACGCCCUCUUCGCUCACGUAGUGGACGAGGCCUUGGGCUUCGAGAGGGAGUUGAGAGAGACUCUUUUAUACCCCCAGAGUCAGCCAGCUACGGUGUUCAUCCUGACUCAGGCCCAGAUCUUCGUCAAGUGGAUCAAUAUGGAGAGAAAAUAUGCCAUCGAGAAGAUUGAAUCGAUUUUGGGCUCUACUACCGCUUGGGAGAGGGUCAACCUUGACCAGACCGAUGAGAUGAAGAUCACUGAGUCCGCUGAUGCUUUUCUCACGCUGCUCACGACUAUUUCGGACAGAUAUAACCAUUUGCCACAACCGGGCCAUCGGCUUCAGUUCCUGGAGCUUCAGCUAGAGCUCAUCGAUGACUGGAGAGUCAGACUGCUACAACUACUCCAUGAUGAUCGGGAGGAUCCUUUGGAAUCACUCAUUCCAAGGAUUUUGAACUCCAUUCAUUAUGUUUGCAAGGUUCUGAUGGAGUGGGGAGUGACUGUGCAUUUUCUACAGCUGUACUUCUUCAAAAACCAAUGUGAAGCAGCAGAACUAGCGACAGACCAAGGAAUGGAUUUGUCUGAAUACACCGAAGCUGACGGAACGGUAUUUGACGAAUCAGUUGCCCUCCUGAUGAGACUUGAGGACAAACUCAUGAGUGAGAUAUGUCAGUACGUGAUAUUGGACGUAAAAGCCAAGAGCAGGCCCUACAGAACGGACAAGUGGUUUGCCAUGCAGAAUAAGAAGGAAGUUGUCUCGCUGUCAGUGACCUCCAGUGGAUGUCCAAUGUUCCAAGAACUAGCUGCUGGACUCCACCAGCUCCACCAGAUUCUAGCCCUCGACCUUUUCAACGGUGCCUGGAAGAACUUAGCCGGACAGCUUGAUCAGUAUCUCUUCGAGGAGAUUGUUCUUGUCAAUAGGUUCAAUGUGGGUGGAGCUGAACAGCUCAAAUUCGACAUCACUAGGAAUUUAUUCCCUCUCUUUGGACUCUACACGAAUAAACCAGAGUCGUACUUUCCUCUGAUGAGGGAAGCUUGUAUUCUACUGAAUACCCUCUUGGGCUCGGCUAUGCUGCUGAUCGACACUCUGGAGAGCAAUGACGAAACUAGGUCUGUGGAAGCUUUGGCUGAACUUGGGGUUUAUAAAAUGACGCCUGAGAAUUCAGUUAUGGUUCUCGCAACGAGGACUGACAUCUCUGACGUUUCUGCUCAUUAAAACCAUCUGAAGAAGAUGAUUGUGUCUCUUGACGAAGUCACGGAGCAUCUGUCUCCACCUCAAGCUGUCGUCAGUAGCACUCAAACCCCUCAAAUUCAUAUGCAGCACUUGGAACUGUCCGCAGACGUGCAUCGCAAUACCAAAGAAGUAAGUGUCGCACCCGAUGUACGCCGUGCAGACGAUGAACAAUUGCACCGAUUGAACAAAAUACUCGCCAACGUAGUGAUAUGUGGAAAUAUCGUCAGAUAUCCAGCAUCUAGGCCCCAUGGGCACCCCCCUAAGAGUACCAUUAUCCACCGGCUCGUUCCACAAUGCACUGACGAAGGGUAAUUUAAGGAAAAUGAGGGGAAAACCGGCGGUAUAUGCACCGCUCAUCUGCACAAGGAACACAAUCCGUCCUAUGUUUGCAUAUUUCUUCAUUACCCGGUGGCGGUUAUUACUGACAACUGAUGACCAGUCGUUAAUAGCUGAAUCGACGAUAGCCAUCAUAUUUUUUUGUUUCAGAUCCGCAGUUUCCUUUGGUCAGGAGUUUUUUGGUCAGACUGAUGGACAUCCAUAACUGGAUUCAAAAGAUCAGGAGCUGGAAAGAAGAAAUGGAUAUCCGAGCGGCAUUUCUCCUAGAGAAAUUUUUCCUCGGUGAUUUGUCCCCCAAUAUUUUACGAAAUUUUAAGAAGUGGUUUCAGGGAAAAAUUUAGAAAUUGAUGAAAGAUUCAGUUGAGGUUUUAUUUAAUUUAUUUUAGAAAUUAUAUUCGUUUUGUGCUGAGUCUGCUGAAUAUGCCCAAAAAUGCGUCAAUAAGCUACGAUUUUUUUCAUAGAACAGACGGAGAAUUUCAAGAAAUGACAACUGAGGAGAAAUUAUCGGGAAAAAUGUCUUCCUAGACCCGAGUAAUGCAGUUAUUGAAGACUACAUUUACCUGCAUUAUGACAACAAAUAAAAUUUUCGCUUUUGGCACAAACCCGCGAGUGUCGAGAGGCCAUAUUCCAAGACCUCUCCCCAAGAGUCUGUAAUAUCCGAGGGCGUAUGUUGUGUCCGGUGACCAGGGGUCAGCUGCCCUCGAUGCUUCCACCUUCGCCAUCGUUCUUACAUUCAGCUGUGCAGGAGCUCCGACGCCAGACAGGUUUAUGCACUCAUAUUUUUAUUAACGAAGCUUGUGACAUACACAUGGUGGACGUGCAUAAUCCAUGCUACAACUAUGAGUGCAUGCUAUUCUGGAGAAAUAUUUUAGUUGCGCUGGAGUCGGAAUAUGCAUUUUUUAGCUGCUUUACUCCAUGAGGGUGCGUGCGCUCGAUAUAAGUGUCACGUAAAGAAAUGUUCCACGGAAAAUGUAGGGAAGGGUUGUCUAGACAUUCUUUGUGAGUAGUCUUCGUUGGAAUGUUGAGGUCUAUCCACCCAUGAUGCCAUUCAUCUGAUCCCCAUGCCUACUACUUAACAUUUGGGAGGGUUUCAACAUCUUUGUGCGUAAGAAUUUUUUAUUUGCAGACAAUCUUCGCAAAACAACGUUUUUCAACGGGUUGUGAAAAAAUAUAUUCCUUCUUCCUGGAUUACAAUGUCCACGACUUAUCAAUAAUAUGUGUUCAGUCGAUGAGUAUCAAGCGAAGUAUUGAAAAAUAUGAGAACAUUGAUUUAACGAUAUUUUUGAAAUUCCCGUAAUCCAUGUGCCAUACUUUACCCGCAGUGAGAUAAAAGCGAUAAUUAUUUCGCAUCAUUAUGAAUUUCAUAUCUCUGACGAUAGCUGACGACAUUCUGUACCAGGGACUGUUGUAAACAGCGACUUGUAAUUUCUCCGCUUGCGUGGACAAAUGCUCGCCUAUGUAGCUGUACAUGAAUAUUUGGAUGUACAUCAGGUAAAUUCUGAUUGCCAUCGCUGAUAUUGUCUGGGUAUCUCCGGUUCUGCAGGCUAAGAGUAAAAUAAUUUCUGUGGAAAAAAUAGAAGAUUGUAAAAACUCCAUUGAAUAUCUGGUAUCUAUUAAUUCGUUUGUGCUCAAAUAGCCCACUGCCUGUACCUGAAAUAGAGAUGAUGAAUGUAUUUGCCCCGAGUUCUAAGAAGAUGAGCAUGUGAAAUGCUGCUUCAAAGUCAUUGGCCAGUUUGAGAAGUUGAUUGUGUCGCCUAGAAAAUGUGGAGAUUUUCACCCGCUGAGUUGAUUCAGGCUCAUCACCAUUGAGCUCGUCCAAGCUCCUGUAUAGUAGCUGAAAUUGUCCGCACAGAUGCAUUGCGAGGCCAAAAGCAAAGACAUCGCCUCCAAGGGAGACCCAGCAUCUGGGCCCAAUCGGUAUAUUUCGAAAAAAUACGCUUCUGUUAUCCACAUGCCCAACUUCUACCAAUCUUGGGAGGCUCGUCAAUAUGAGGGGAAUUAUCGUCAUGUAAGCUCCCAACAUUUGCACGAUGAAGACAAGUCUUCCUAUGGAGGCGUAUUGCCGCAUUAUUUCCCGAGGUUUUUUCCCUUCGACGUGCGACCAGUCUUGCAAAGCCGAGUUGACGAUGAAAGAAACCCUCUCUCGGUGGAUCCAGGGGAGGAGUAUCUUCAAUACAGCCAUGAGGCUGGUUGUAAUGAGGCUUAUGGCAUCAACUAAUUCAGUUAUAGCGCCACAGUUACCUUUGAGAAUCCAAUCACGAAGAAAAAUUGCUACCAGAGUGAUCUGAAUCAGAGAUUGGUUGGUGCUUCGCAGAUGAUAAAAUUUAAGCUAUUGUGGCAGCAAUCAUAUGAGAGUAGAAAGAAAUGUGCAACUCACUUGAAUGGACACAACAAUAAAAAUCCGUAAAGUGGAAAAUAUUCCGCGAUUAUCUAGUGGCCAAAUUCCUAAUAUUCGGAUCAGUCCCUUAUACAAACCCAGUGCAUAUUUUGCAUCUUUGUUCCAGCCUGCAUUUGCCAUUGAUUAUUCUGCCAAAGUGCACUAUUCCAAAACUCGUGCAACCCCAGUAAUACCAGAAGAUACCUAUGGGAUUCCUCGGAUUUCAUGUUGUACUGCUUCUGGAUGAACGCAUGCAAGAACAAACAUAAGUAAUGAAUUUGGACGGUAUGACAAAUUCAUGUGUCACUCCACUUACUUAUUUAUUUUCGUGUGAAGAAAAAAUAUGCUACGUCGAGGAAUACUCUUUGUCUUGCGCAAGAUAUUCAAUAUCAAUUAUUGAUAGGCCUAUGGGGGAUAGAAAUAUUUUCGCGGUAAAUGAAUUAUGUUUGGGGCUGUGCUCGAUAUCGUGGUAUAGCUGCGGAGCAGUUCAGUGCAAUACAACGAUCGGAGGCAAGCGGAGCCCGAUGGAUAUACAUUGAUACUUUUAUCUAGUCCUCUGCGAAAUAUAUUCAAUGGUUCAUACCUGA